GGAUGUGGGUCAGUGGUUGAGCACCUGCCUGCCAAGCACGUGAGACAGCCUGGGUUGGAUCCCCAGCACCG
rnacentral:tRNA from 1 species